rnacentral:rRNA from 1 species
UGAGGAAUAUUGGUCAAUGGGCGGAAGCCUGAACCAGCCAUCCCGCGUGCAGGAAGACAGCCCUAUGGGUUGUAAACUGCUUUUCCAGUGGGCGAAACACUCGUACGUGUACGAGAUUGACGGUACACUGGGAAUAAGCAUCGGCUAACUCCGUGCCAGCAGCCGCGGUAAUACGGAGGAUGCAAGCGUUAUCCGGAUUUAUUGGGUUUAAAGGGUGCGUAGGCGGAUGAAUAAGUCAGUGGUGAAAGGCUGCAGCUUAACUGUAGACUUGCCGUUGAUACUGUUUAUCUUGAGUAUGGUCAAGGCAGGCGGAAUGUGUAAUGUAGCGGUGAAAUGCUUAGAUAUUACACAGAACACCGAUUGCGAAGGCAGCUUGCUGGGCCAUUACUGACGCUGAUGCACGAAAGCGUGGGGAGCGAACA